rnacentral:rRNA from 1 species
GCAAGAUUAAAACUCAAAGGAAUAGACGGGGACCCGCACAAGCGGUGAAGCAUGUGGUUUAAUUCGACGAUACGCGAAGAACCUUACCUGGCCUUGACAUAGAAAGAACUUACUAGAGAUAGUUUGGUGCUAGCUUGCUAGAACUUUCAUACAGGUGCUGCACGGCUGUCGUCAGCUCGUGUCGUGAGAUGUUGGGUUAAGUCCCGCAACGAGCGCAACCCUCGUGUUUAGUUACUAACAGUUCGGCUGAGGACUCUAGACAGACUGCCUGGGUAACCAGGAGGAAGGUGAGGACGACGUCAAGUCAUCAUGGCCCUUACGGCCAGGGCUACACACGUGCUACAAUGGGGUAUACAAAGAGCCGCAAUACCGUGAGGUGGAGCAAAUCUCAUAAAAUAUCUCCCAGUUCGGAUUGGAGUCUGCAACUCGACUCCAUGAAGUUGGAAUCGCUAGUAAUCGUGAAUCAGCAAUGUCACGGUGAAUACGUUCCCGGGUCUUGUACUCACCGCCC